rnacentral:rRNA from 1 species
UACGUAGGGGGCAAGCGUUGUCCGGAUUUAUUGGGCGUAAAGAGCGUGUAGGCGGUUUGGUAGGUCCGCUGUGAAAACUCGAGGCUCAACCUCGAGACGCCGGUGGAAACCAUCAGACUAGAGUCCGGAAGAGGAGAGUGGAAUUCCUGGUGUAGCGGUGAAAUGCGCAGAUAUCGAGAGGAACACCGGUGGCGAAGGCGGCCUUCUGGACAGUGACUGACGCUGAGACGCGAAAGCGUGGGGAGCAAACAGG